AUUGAACGCUGGCGGCAGGCCUAACACAUGCAAGUCGAACGAGUGGCGGACGGGUGAAUAAUGUAUGGGAAACUGCCCGAUGGAGGGGGCUAAAUACUGGAAACGGUAGCUAAUACCGCAUACCAUCGGAUGUGCCCAGAUGGGAUUAGCUAGUAUGUGGGGUAACGGCUCACCUAGGCGACGAUCCCUAGCUUGUCUGAGAGGAUGACCAGCCACACGUGAACGGGGACACGGUCCAGACUCCGACGGGAGGCAGCAGUGGGGAACAUUGCACAAUGGGCGCAAGCCUGAUGCAGCCAUGCCGCGUGUAUGAAGAAGGGCUUCGGGGUGUAAAGGACGUUAAGCGAGGAGGCGUUACUCGCAGAAGAAGCACCGGCUAACUCCGUGCCAGCAGCCGCGGUAAUUC
rnacentral:rRNA from 1 species